CCCACAACACUUAUACAGGUCUUGGGCUAUGACCAGUGUUUCAACAAGCCAUACGCCUCUGUCUCCCAUCAGCUGAACAGUGCACUGUAGAAAGUAAGACCAAAUCAUGGGUUGCAACACAAGCCGGGACACUACAGUGCUGGAACCUUCUGAAAUGCCAGAGGAGAGGCCAAAGACAGCUACUUCCACCAAGGAGGCAUCUACAGAAGGAACCAACGGAACAACAGACAAAGACAAGGAUGAAGAUAUGGAGACAUCCAGCUGAGUGCCAUGUUUACACCUUAUCACUCUCUUCAAGAUUGGCCUGUCCUGGGUGAAGGAGGGCCUGUCAGCAGGAGGAGGCGACGCUGCACUACUGUCCAUCAACCUCUGUGUCAUCUGGGCCAGCCAGGAAAAAAAAUUCAGCUCUUAUGUUCAUAUUCCAGAAAUUAUUUUGUGAUAAAUACGCUGAUUUAGA